UCCAGGAUUUCCACGGGAUGAUGAGAUU
rnacentral:piRNA from 1 species